rnacentral:lncRNA from 1 species
UGGCUGAGAGGAGAACUGAAAUGGACAGGUAAGGGAGGGGGAGAAUGAUAGAGAGACAAAGACAAGAGGAGAAAGAAUGAGAAAAUAGGAACACAGAAGAAAGAGAGAGUGGGAGAGGAGGAGAAGAGAGGAGAAAUAUGAGGUCUGUGAGUUUCAUGUGACCCAAAGUGAGAUGGUAUUUACAGUUUACCUUUAUUUAUCAUGAUGGGGAACUACGGCUGCAAAUGUCCUUAUUCAAUCAAGUGUGGCUAAAUGAUGAGGAGGAUGAGGAAGACUGCUUCAAAACUGUCAGGGGGAGAAUGGUGAAGGCAGAGAGGGAGAGAGGUGGGGAAGGAGGAGGAAGAGGAGAUGUACUGCUUCGAAACUGUCUCGUGAGAACGGUGAAGGCAGAGAGGGAGAGAGGAGGAGGAGGAGGAGGAAGAGGAGAUUUACUGCUUCGAAACUGUCUCGUGAGAAUGGUGAUGGUGAAGGCAGAGAGGGAGAGAGGAGGAGGAGGAAGAGGAGAUUUACUGCUUCAAACUGUCUCGUGAGAACGGUGAAUGGCAGAGAGGGAGAGGAGUUGCCCUCAUUUUGAAAAAAAGAAACGCCCAUCACAGCGAGUGCAAAUAUAUGUCAAAAAUGUAAUUUCCUCUUCGGCCAUAAAGCUGCAGGGUCACCGGAUCUAAAUAGACAUCACAUGAUUUACAUCAUUCUAAAGAGGGGUGUGUGUGUGUGUGUGUGUGUGUGUGUGCAUUUCAAAAUCACUUUUCUUCAGAACACAGAAUGUCACUUGUCCAGGCAUGAGACAACCGAAUCCUUGUACGGUCGCCGCGGUCACAAGAGCUGAGGCUCGAGCGCUCUUGUCAUCAGAUGAAGCCUUUGUUUGUGAGAUGCAGAGGCGGGUCACCCCAUGCAGAGAAAAGAAAGAGAAAUCAUCCCACUCUAUUACUCUCUCUCUCUCUCUCUCUCUCUCUCUCUCUCUCUCUCUCUCUCUCUCUCUCUCUGUCUCUCUCUCUUGUUUAUGAGCAUAGACUAGCAGAGCCACACAGCACACGACCUGAGGGACUGUGAGACGAGGGUCAGACAACAGAGGGAUUGAAGGAGAGAGAGCGUAUGUGUGUUUGGGACAGAAAUGGAGAGGAGGAGGAGGAUAAGGAGAAAAAAAGAUAUGGAAAGGGAAACAUGAAGAACAACAGACAGAGCAAAGUGAGAGAAAUAGCGUGACCGAGUCAGUCCAAUAAAAAAAAGAGUGAAAUUGAUCA